UACGUAGGGACCGAGCGUUGUCCGGAUUCAUUGGGCGUAAAGAGCUCGUAGGCGGCUGCUCAAGUCGAAUGUGAAACCUCGAGGCUUAACCUCGAGCCUGCAUUCGAUACUGGGCGGCUAGAGUCUGGUAGGGGGAUCUGGAAUUCCUGGUGUAGCGGUGGAAUGCGCAGAUAUCAGGAGGAACACCGGUGGCGAAGGCGGGUCUCUGGGCCGAUACUGACGCUGAGGAGCGAAAGCGUGGGGAGCGAACAGG
rnacentral:rRNA from 1 species